ensembl:lncRNA HULC hepatocellular carcinoma up-regulated long non-coding RNA
AGGUGUCUUUGUGAAGCUUCCUAUCUUUGCUUUUCAACUAAGAUGAAACAGCAUUUAAAAGAAAAUGCCAUGUGAGAUGAGAUCAGGAGAAUGGAUUCUUUCUUUCAUCUGAAUAGAGAGCUGCUGUUCGAGAUUCUAACUCAAAUAGCUCAAAGGACACCUUCUCCGGGAAACCUUCCCUGACUUCCGACGCUGUUUCCUGUUACCCAUGAUGUACAUUAGAACACAGCAACUAUUUGAGUGAAAUAAGUAUUUUUAUUUAUUUCAAGAGGAAAGCAAAGUCGAAGGGUGUUCAGGGCUACAGUUUUGCUUGACCAGAUGUUGCCAAGUUUCAAAGUCAAAUCGGUUCAUCUCCUGGCUAUCAGCUAAAGGGUGUUGUAUUUGUAAGCAUUGAGAACUUCUAUCUACUGCUAUUGUAUUUUGCAUAUUUGUAUUUUCUGAGUUCUAUUUGAGAGAGACGGAAUUACGCAUUUCCAUAUGGAUCAUCCUCUUCCCUAUGUAUGUUGCUUUAUUGCCUUUUGGAAGAAAAAAAGUGAGAGUUGCAGUCUGUAUUUAGGCCAUUUCUAUGUUCUUUAUUGGGUUACGUUUGAAUGCCCAAUUUGAUCUCAAUGGCACGUCCUUUGUAACAUAAAAUAAAACAUGGUGCUCAGGAAAAGUAACGACA